rnacentral:misc_RNA from 1 species
CUCCUCUGUUCACAAGUGGUUGACCUCCUUAUUUUAUGCUCUCUCUCUCUCUCUGCUUGCGCUCCCCAGCCUUACUAAGCAGCCAUCCGUCUCUCCUUGCUCUCCGUUGAGGAAAUGAUUUGGAAUCCAGUGAUUUCCCUCGCAUCCAAACUUGCCGAGUAUCUUUUUUCGCCCGUCGGGCGUCAGAUCGGUUAUGUGUUCAACCACAAAAGCAACAUACAGGAGCUGAAAGUUCAAUCUGAUAAGCUGCAAGGUGAAAGACAGAGUGUGCAGCACCGCGUGGAUGAGGCUAAAAGACAUGGGGAAGAAAUUGAAGACAUGGUAGACAAGUGGCUGAAAAGCGUGGAUGAUGCUACUUUAGAGGUGGACAAAAUUCUACAAGAUAAUGACACGGCAAAGAUGAAGUGCUUCAUGGGAUUGUGUCCCAAUUUGAAGAUGCGUUACCGGCUUAGUAAGAAAGCUAAGAAGAAGAAGGAGGUGGUUGUUCGAAUCCAAGCAGAAGGGAAAUUUGAUAGAGUUUCCUACCAUACCUCUCCACCUUGGACGGCGCCUGCCAAAGAUUACGAGGUUUUUGAAUCAAGAACGGUACUUUUAAAGGAAAUUGUGGAGGCGUUGAAGGAUGAUGAAGUUAAUAUGAUUGGGGUGUAUGGGAUGGGAGGCGUUGGUAAGACCACCCUAGUGAAAGAGGUUGCUUCUCAAGUCAAGGAACAGGGCAUAUUCAGAAGGGUGGUUACAGCAACAGUAACCCUCAAUGCUGAUAUAAAAAGAAUUCAACAAGAAAUUGCAGAGUGGUUAGGUUGCAAUUUGGUUGAGCAGACUGUUAGUGUACGAGCUGCUCGGUUGAGUGAGCGUCUCAAACGAGAGGAGAAAAUUCUCAUAAUUCUGGAUGAUAUUUGGGUGAGAAUCAAAUUGGGGGAAAUAGGAAUUCCAAUUGGAAAUGAUCAUGAUAAAGGUUGCAAGAUAUUGAUGACCUCCAGAAAUCAAAAUGUAUUUUUGGAGAUGGAUGUUUUGAGAGUUUUCCGGCUUGAAGUUUUACAAGAUAAAGAAGCAUGGUAUUUGUUUCAGAAGAAGGUGGGCGAUGUGCAACAUCCUAAUUUGGCAAUUGAAGUAGCAAAGAGGUGUGCUGGUUUACCUAUUUUGAUUGUGACUGUUGCAAUGGCAUUGAAAAAUAAGCAGUUGUUUGAAUGGAAGAAUGCCUUGGAACAACUAAAAAGGUUUGAUGAUAGCGAAAUGGAUGAGCAAGUUACUUCUACUCUAAAGUUGAGUUACAACUUUUUGCAAGGUGAGGAAAUCAAGUCAUUAUUCUUACUUUGUGGACAGCAUGUAUCAUAUAGCUAUGAAGUCGAUAACUUGCUGAAAUAUGCUGUGGGCUUGGGUUUAUUCAAACGAAGCAAAACAUUAGAGGAAGCAAGAAAUAGACUUCAUAAAUAUGUUAGUGACCUCAAAGCUUCUUGUUUGUUGCUAGAAGGCAUCCACAGGGGAGAAGUCAAGAUGCAUGAUGUUGUUCGCAAUUUUGCUAUCUCAGUUGCAUCCACAGAUCAUCAUGUCUUCAAUGUAGCAUAUGACACUGUAUUGGAAUGGCCGUCAAAGGAUGAGCUUGAACAAUGCACUGCAAUAAAUUUGUUUGCAUGUGAGAUUCCUGAGCUUCCUGCAGCAUUUAAAUGCCCAAAACUGGAGUCAUUUGCACUGGAUAAUUUUCUACUGGAUGGCAAGAAUGCCUUUCUGAAAAUCCCGGAUGACUUUUUUAGUACUGUGAAAGAACUCAAAGUCUUGGAUUUGACAGGAUUGCAUUUAUCAUCUCUGCCUUCUUCACUUCAAUUUCUUCAGAACCUUCAAACAUUAUGUCUAGAUCAUUGUGUUUUGGAAGACAUAGCUGCAAUCGGAGAGCUUAACAACUUACAAGUUCUCAGCCUUUUCGGUGCUAACAUUGUUCAGCUGCCAGGAGAAAUAGGGAAAUUGACUCGUCUAAGGCUUUUAGAUUUAGGCAAUUGUCCUAGCCUUGAAGUGAUUCCGCCAGAUGUCCUGUCAUGCUUGACCCGAUUAGAGGACCUAUAUAUUGGACGCAGUUUUGUGCGAUGGAAGGGUGAAGAAAAUGAUGCUCAAAGAGAAAAUGCUAACCUGGCUGAAUUGAAGCUUUUAACAAACCUAGUCACUUUGGAAAUACAUGUCAUUGAUGAAAAGAUCCUUCCCAGGGAUUUGUUCUUUGAAAAGCUGGAAAGAUUUAAAAUAGUUGUAGGUGACAUAUGGGAUUGGUCAUGUAGAGAUGAAACUUCAAGAAUGCUGAAACUCAAGCUCAACACAAGCUUUCUGUUGGAGAGCAUGAAACUCCUCCUGAUGAAAACUGAAGAUUUAUAUUUGGAUGACUUGAAAGGUGUAAAAAGUGUCCUCUGUGAAUUAAACGGGCUAGGUUUUCCUGAGUUGAAACAUCUGCGUAUCCAAAAUAGUCUUGAAGUUCAAUAUAUCAUCGACUCAAUUAGGCUAGGGCCUCAAGUUUUUUUCCCCGUAUUGGAAACAUUGCUCCUUGACCAUCUAAUUAACUUGGAGAAGAUAUGUUAUGGUGCUCUUGAGGCCACCUCUUUUAGCAGCUUAAGAAAGUUAAAUGUGAAACACUGUGAUAGCUUGAAGCAUCUCUUUUCAUUCUCUAUGGCUAGUUGCCUUGCACAACUAGAAGAAUUCAACGUAAGCAAUUGCAAAUUUAUGGAAGGGAUUGUGGUGAAGGAAAUUGGCGAAGAUUCAGGCAACGAUGUAGUCAUUGAGUUGACUCAAUUACACACAUUGACGCUAGAAUAUCUACCUAAAUUCACAAGUUUUAUCUCCCAAGUCCAGGUUCCUUUUACUAAUACAGGAUCUGAAGAAAUUGUAUCUGCAGAUCAUGAACCCGAAACUCUCGUUCCAAUUUUCAAUAGAAAGAUUAGAUUCCCCAAUUUGGCAAAGCUGAAACUCUCUUCAGUAAGUUUGGAGAAGAUAUGGAGCAACCAACUUACACAACUAUCUCCGCGUUUAACAAUCUUGAAGGUUGAUGGAUGUGAGAAUUUAAACUAUGUAUUUCCAUCUCCUGUGGUUGAAAGUCUUGCACAACUCACAAGGCUAGAAAUAUGCAAUUGUGAGUCAGUGGAAGAAAUAAUAGCUACACAAAGAUUAGGAGAAACAAUGAUCAAGAUUUCAUUUCCAAAACUGGACCUGCUAAAGCUCAGUGAUCUUCCAAAACUAACAAGUUUUUUCAGUGGUAACUUGAUUGAAUUCUCUUCUUUGAAAGUUCUGGUGAUAGACAAUUGUACACAAUUGAGGACAUUUGUUUCCAGUUCUGAAAGUACAGAUGUGGCAUCUAGCAGUGAAUCUGGACAAGCAAACUCACUUCUUUUUGAUGAGAAGGUUGCAUUUCCUAGCUUGGAGGAGUUGCAUAUUAUGUCCUUGCCUAAGUUGAAAAUGAUACGGGAUGAUCAUAUCCAAACAAAUUCAUUCAGCAAGUUAAAAUUACUGAAGGUGGAAGAUUGCGAGGAGUUACUGAAAAUUUUUCCAUCAAAUAUACAUGAGGAUUCUCCAAAAACUCUCUUGUUUUCAAACCUAUGUUGAGUGGAUGUUAGGAUAUGUCCUAGUCUGAAUAGUCUCUUCCCACCUUCAAUUGCAAGAAAUCUU